UCUCUCUCUCUCUCUGUCUCUCUCUCUGUCUCUCUCUCUGUGUCUCUCUGUCUCUCUCUGUCUCUCUCUGUCUCUCUGUCUCUCUCUCUCUCUCUCUCUCUCUCUCUCUCUCUGUCUCUCUCUCUCUCUCUCUCUCUCUCUACUCCCUCUCUCUGUUUAACUCAACCCAGUGUAGUAGUAUGGUAUGUUCUUCGUCAUCACUACUACUGUCAUGCCAAACCAAGGAAGAAGAAGAGGAAGGAAAGGGACGAUGUUGUUGUCGCUGGAAAAGCUGGACAACGUUUAUAUGCUUGAAAUCCAUUUUUAUUUUUAUUUUUUUUGCAAGAAAAAAGUUGAGAAGGAAGUUGAGGAAUUUUUAAAUAAAUUAAGUUUUAAAGCAAUGAACAAUGUAUUGUAUUGUACAAUCCCCCUGAUAGGUGCCGAGCCGCCAGACUUAUUAUCCUGGGAUCAGUAGUCUUCUAUCUGAGAGACUCGCGCUGCGUGUUACCAUGGUUACGCUGGUUAACAUGAUGAGGCUGGGAGGAAUUCUAUCUGAGAGACGCGUGCUGCGUGUUACCAUGUUUACCAUGGUUCUCCUUCCCAACGCUGGUUAACAUGAUGAGGCUCUGUGGCUUUUCGUUAAGACUUGACUGGGAGGAAAUCUAUCUGAGAGACGCGCGCUGCGUGUUACCAUGGUUACUCUGGUUAACAUGAUGAGGCUCUGUGGCUUUUCGUUAAGACUUGACUGGGAGGAAAAUCACGUGUCUCGUUGUCAUUUACAUUGACGAUGACCCUGGAAAGCUUUAGUCUAUUAUAUAUAUAUAUAUCAGCACAGCACAAAGACCUGGGAGUUAGAGGGGUAACGGGGGAGGAUGAGGGAGAAUUGGGGAAGGUAGCGAGGGAGAAUUGGGGGGAGGGUGCUCAAAGAGACUAUGCAAUAGUGUUACCCAGCCUUUCAUGUCCAUUCGGGGUUGGUUUGUUGAUAUCUAAAGGCCAGUCCACAGUGGGGACCUGGGCAGUGUUCCAGACCUGUCUCCUAUGUUACUGCACUACUGAUGACCAGGGACUCCGUAGGAACUACGGUGCCACAGCGCUGCCAGGGGGUCACGGUAUUCCUAAAAAAAAACAUGUGUGCCAUCACCUUUUCUACCUACUAGCCAACCAACCAGCCACAGGGGACAGCUAUAGGCAGGAGGUUAGAUUUACUGCUGCUUCUAUAGAGACGUUCUAUCGCUGAGCGUUCUAGAGUUCUAUCACUGAGAGUUCUGGAGUUCUAUCAGCUAGAAGUCUCUCCUUUACUUCUAUAGAGACGUUCUAUCGCUGAGCGUUCUAGAGUUCUAUCACUGAGAGUUCUGGAGUUCUAUCAGCUAGAAGUCUCUCCUUUACUUCUAUAGAGACGUUCUAUCGCUGAGCGUUCUAGAGUUCUAUCACUGAGAGUUCUGGAGUUCUAUCAGCUAGAAGUCUCUCCUUUACUUCUAUAGAGACGUUCUAUCGCUGAGCGUUCUAGAGUUCUAUCACUGAGAGUUUUAGAGUUCUAUCAGCUAGAAGUCUCUCCUUUACUUCUAUAGAGACGUUCUAUCGCUGAGCGUUCUAGAGUUCUAUCACUGAGAGUUUUAGAGUUCUAUCAGCUAGAAGUCUCUCCUUUACUUCUAUAGAGACGUUCUAUCACUGAGAAUUCUAGAAUUCUCUCCUUUACUUCUAUAGAGACGUUCUAUCACUGAGAAUUCUAGAAUUCUCUCCUUUACUUCUAUAGAGACGUUCUAUCGCUGAGAAUUGUAUCAGCUAGAAGCCUCACACCUUGAGAUGCAGAGUAGAAUAUUGGCCUGACCUGUAAACCUAAUAUGCACAUUGCUUUGGGAGGCUGAUUGAUACGAUGUACAGAGAGAAACCCCAUGUCUAUAAUAUGACUAAUAAUUAAAGACUUUACAGUCAGUUACAGGGACAGUGUUUUGGCGUUGUGUCUUCCUGACGGGGGGGGGGGGGAGGGUUUCAGGGUCUUCGGGGGGAAACUGCACUUUCUGAAGGACAUUCCUUAUUUUGGUAACGUUUAACCAAGGUAGAGACUCCAGCCUGCUCCUCCCACCGUCGUCCCAUGUCUCCUCCCAUCGUCGUCACCACGACGACCACGAUGAUGCUGUCGUUCUGUUGUCAUUUUGUUUUUAUUUCAUAAUAAUAAUGAUAUAUAUUAUUAUUAUUAUUUUUCCUUCUUGGUUGAUGUUUUAUUUUACUUUUUUUUUUUUUGUGAUUGAUUAUUUUAGUGCUAUUAAAAGAGAAUGUGUACUGAAGGUGUUUUAUUAGGUUGGUUGGUGGACGGUCUCCUGGGCUGAGCCGACCGACCGAGCGCUAGACAUAUUGAUAACUGUUUGUAAACCUUCUGGCCGUAGUGUCGGAACACAAAAGCUGUAUAACUUGGGUACAACCCUCAAUAAAAAGACUAACAGUGA